rnacentral:rRNA from 1 species
UAGAGUUUGAUCAUGGCUCAGAUUGAACGCUGGCGGCAGGCCUAACACAUGCAAGUCGAGCGGAAACGAGUUGUUUGAACCUUCGGGGGACGACAGCGGCGUCGAGCGGCGGACGGGUGAGUAAUGCCUGGGAAAUUGCCCUGAUGCGGGGGAUAACCAUUGGAAACGAUGGCUAAUACCGCAUGAUAGCUUCGGCUCAAAGAGGGGGACCUUCGGGCCUCUCGCGUCAGGAUAUGCCCAGGUGGGAUUAGCUAGUUGGUGAGGUAAGGGCUCACCAAGGCGACGAUCCCUAGCUGGUCUGAGAGGAUGAUCAGCCACACUGGAACUGAGACACGGUCCAGACUCCUACGGGAGGCAGCAGUGGGGAAUAUUGCACAAUGGGCGCAAGCCUGAUGCAGCCAUGCCGCGUGUAUGAAGAAGGCCUUCGGGUUGUAAAGUACUUUCAGCAGUGAGGAAGAUGGUGUGUUUAAUACGCGCAUCAUUUGACGUUAGCUGCAGAAGAAGCACCGGCUAACUCCGUGCCAGCAGCCGCGGUAAUACGGAGGGUGCGAGCGUUAAUCGGAAUUACUGGGCGUAAAGCGCAUGCAGGUGGUUUGUUAAGUCAGAUGUGAAAGCCCGGGGCUCAACCUCGGAAUAGCAUUUGAAGCUGGCAGACUAGAGUACUGUAGAGGGAGGUAGAAUUUCA